rnacentral:tRNA from 1 species
GACUCUUUGGUGCAGUAGGCAGCAUGUCAGUCUUGCAAGCUGAAGGUCCCCAGUUUGGUCCUUGGAAGUGUGG